GCGGCCCGGACGCCGGCAGGGCGGCUGAGGCUGCUGUGAGAGGGCGCUCGAGGCUGCUGGAGAGCGAACAGGCGAAGGAGGCGGGGAGGCGGCGGCCGCACUCGCUCGCCUGGUCUCUCGCUUCCCGGCACCGCUGCGGGUCUGUCGCUGCGCUCCCUGCCCGCCAGCCGCUCCGUGGCGCGCCGCCGGAGCAGCCGCGCCUCGGCCGGGUCCCCGCUCGGGUCAGGAGUCGUGCGCGCCGGCGGACACCGCGCGGAGGGCGAGCCGGCGCCACACCUGUGGAGCCGGCGGGCGUCGGGGGUCCCGGCCGGGGUCCCGCCGCGUGCGUGCUCGGGGCUGCGGGCCUCCCGGGCGCUGGGGGAGGCGCGUCCCCCGGCUGGGCGACGCGGGCACUAUGGGGCUCCCCGCGCUCGAGUUCAGCGACUGCUGCCUCGACAGCCCGCACUUCCGAGAGACGCUCAAGUCGCACGAAGCGGAGCUGGACAAGACCAACAAAUUCAUCAAGGAGCUCAUCAAGGACGGGAAGUCCCUCAUCAGCGCGCUCAGGAAUUUGUCUUUGGCGAAGAGGAAAUUUGCCGAUUCCUUAAAUGAAUUUAAAUUUCAGUGCAUAGGAGAUGCAGAAACAGAUGAUGAAAUGUGUAUAGCAAGGUCUUUGCAGGAGUUUGCCACUGUCCUCAGGAAUCUUGAAGAUGAGCGGAUACGGAUGAUUGAGAAUGCCAGCGAGGUGCUCAUCACUCCCUUGGAGAAGUUUCGAAAGGAGCAGAUUGGGGCUGCCAAGGAAGCCAAGAAGAAGUAUGACAAGGAGACAGAAAAGUAUUGUGGCAUCUUAGAAAAACACCUAAAUUUGUCUUCCAAGAAGAAAGAAUCUCAGCUUCAGGAGGCAGACAUCCAAGUAGACUUGGUCCGGCAGCAUUUCUAUGAAGUAUCGCUGGAGUAUGUCUUCAAGGUGCAGGAAGUCCAAGAGAGAAAGAUGUUUGAGUUCGUGGAGCCUCUACUGGCAUUCUUGCAAGGACUCUUCACUUUCUAUCACCAUGGUUAUGAACUGGCCAAGGAUUUCAGCGACUUCAAGACUGAGUUGACCAUUAGCAUACAGAAUACAAGAAAUCGCUUUGAAGGCACCAGGUCAGAAGUGGAAUUGCUGAUGAAAAAGAUGAAGGAGAAUCCCCUUGAGCACAAGACCAUCAGUCCCUACACCAUGGAAGGGUACCUGUACGUUCAGGAGAAACGUCACUUUGGAACUUCUUGGGUGAAGCACUACUGUACAUAUCAACGGGAUUCCAAACAAAUCACCAUGGUACCAUUUGACCAAAAGUCAGGAGGAAAGGGGGGAGAAGAUGAAUCCGUCACCCUGAAAUCCUGCACCCGGCGGAAAACAGAUUCUAUCGAGAAGAGGUUUUGCUUUGAUGUAGAAGCAGUAGACAGGCCAGGGGUUAUCACCAUGCAGGCGUUGUCGGAAGAGGACCGGAGGCUCUGGAUGGAAGCCAUGGAUGGCCGGGAGCCUGUCUACAAUUCGAACAAAGACAGUCAGAGUGAAGGAACUGCACAGUUGGACAGCAUUGGCUUCAGCAUAAUCAGGAAAUGCAUCCACGCUGUGGAAACCAGAGGGAUCAAUGAGCAAGGGCUCUACCGAAUUGUGGGGGUCAAUUCCAGAGUGCAGAAGCUGCUCAGCGUCUUGAUGGACCCCAAAACAGUUUCUGAAACAGAGACCGAUAUCUGUGCUGAAUGGGAGAUAAAGACGAUCACUAGUGCUUUGAAGACCUACCUAAGAAUGCUUCCAGGACCACUCAUGAUGUACCAGUUUCAAAGAAGUUUCAUCAAAGCAGCAAAGUUGGAAAACCAGGAGUCUCGGGUCUCUGAAAUCCACAGCCUUGUUCAUCGGCUCCCAGAGAAAAAUAGACAGAUGUUACAGCUGCUCAUGAACCACUUGGCAAAUGUUGCUAACAACCACAAGCAGAAUCUGAUGACAGUGGCAAACCUCGGUGUGGUGUUUGGACCCACCCUGCUGCGUCCUCAGGAAGAAACAGUAGCAGCCAUCAUGGACAUCAAGUUUCAGAACAUUGUUAUUGAGAUCCUAAUAGAAAAUCACGAAAAGAUAUUUAACACCGUGCCUGAUACACCUCUCACCAAUGCCCAGCUGCACCUGUCCCGGAAGAAGAGCAGUGACUCCAAGCCCCCUUCCUGCAGCGAGAGGCCCCUGACACUCUUCCACGCCAUGCAAUCAGCAGAAAAACAGGAACAAAGAAACAGCAUCAUCAACUCCAGUUUGGAAUCUGUCGUCUCAUCAAAUGCAAAUAGCAUCCUUAAUUCCAGCAGCAGCUUGCAGCCCAACAUGAACUCCAGUGACCCGGACCUGGAUGUGCUCAAACCCACCCGGCCCAACUCACUCCCCCCGAAUCCAAGCCCAACUUCACCCCUCUCGCCAUCUUGGCCCAUGUUCUCGGCGCCAUCCAGCCCUAUGCCCACCUCAUCCACGUCCAGCGACUCAUCCCCCAUCAGGUCUGUUGCAGGGUUUGUUUGGUUUUCUGUUGCUGCCGUUGCUCUCUCAUUGGCUUGGUCCUCUCUUCAUGCAGUGUUCAGCCUCCUCGUCAACUUUGUUCCCCGCCAUCCAAACCUGCACUUGCUUUUUGACAGGCCAGAAGAAGCAGUUCGUGAAGACUCCAGCACACCGUUCCGGAAGGCAAAAGCCUUAUAUGCCUGCAAAGCUGAACAUGACUCAGAACUCUCGUUCACAGCAGGCACGGUCUUCGACAAUGUUCAUCCAUCUCAGGAGCCUGGCUGGUUGGAGGGGACUCUCAACGGGAAGACUGGCCUCAUACCUGAGAACUACGUGGAGUUCCUCUAACCGUGGGCCCCAGCAGACCUGCUGAGCUUUCCAUGGUAUCCAUGACAACUGCUGAUGCCAGUGUUGUAGGCCAUUACUCUUUGCCGCUGAGAAAUGCGGGGUGAUUGACUCCGUUACCACCUGCCAGCACGAAUGUUUCUGUGAACUCUGGUGUCACCCAUCCCCAUGAUCAUGUCAGCUGGCAUGUGGUGAUACUGCAAGGAACAGAAGUAAAUCAGCAGUGGAGGCCAUUUGAUUUUGAUAACCGAGGGAAAGGCUUGCAAAGCUGUUCCUCUCAUUUAGUGCCCUAAAUAGGGAGCAUUCAUUUUGUUUCAGCAGUCAUCCAAACCCCCAACCUUCCAAAAAAGGAAGUAAGAAAGAUUUCAGUAGUCCUCAAGAGCAUGCAGUGUAGCUAAGUCUAACAGGGCUGGGCAUUGGCUCUGAGGCCCAGGCUGGGCCCGUUGCUUCUGUUUACAGUAGACACUCUCUACCCCACCUCUAAAUACUUGAGACCCACAGUGCUACAGGCAGCUGGGUCUGUCUGUUUGCAUGCAGGAGGGAGAUGGUUUACGGCACUGUUUACAUAAGAUGCAAUCUCUCGCCAUCUCCAAGCAGCCUUGGCCAAGCAUCAGCAGAAUUCAGCUCAGUCCUCUCGUGCAAGGGAACACACACACCCCACGUUCCCCCUCCCAAGCUAGGAACUUCUCUGCCACCCAGGGCUGCCAUCACCUCGUAACCACGGCAACCCAACCUACUCUGAAGCCAAACCAAAAAAAUAACACUCUUUUUGCAUGACAUAUUUUUUCUCCCUCCUUUUUGGUCACUUUUUGAAUGAUUUUCCAACAACCUGAAGCAGAAGAUCAAGGGAUUAGAGUGGUCUGCUUGGGGCUGACAGAAUAGCGGCUGGGAACUCUUCCCUUUCUGAUGAAUUUCAGCAGCAUCAGGAUAUAUUUGGAGCAAACUCUAGUAACCUCUUGAGAUUAAAUUACAUACAGGCUUAAUACUUCUGUUCUUCCAUGCAACUAGCAUUUGCUUUCUAGGGGGCAAUAUGCUGCCUCCUCAUGGGCGACAUCCUCUCCCCCCUUUGACUUGUUCACUCAUGGUCUCCCAUUCCAUGUCCCUUCCCCUGCCCUUGACUGCCUCUAGCCCCUCCCUGACCAGCCCCACUGGCAGUGCCCUGGGCUCCUGAGCACUGGUGCCCUGGCAGCUUUCAAGGAUGAUUCCCUGGCUAACCCUAUGGCUUGUAGUUUUAAAGGACAUAUAUGUUCACUGCCACUCAGAAAAAGGGAAUUGUUUCUCAGGCUUUUGAGGCACAAGACGAAUAUUGUAAGCCAUUUGAUUCAGGAGAAUACCAAAAGGUCGGGGCAUGGAAGGUGGAAUGGGUACCUUCUGAGAAAGAGAAUUUCCUGGUCCAGAAGGGGCUGGGUCUUGUGGAAGACUGCCAGGGAUAGGGAAGUUGGGUCUGGACACUUCACAUUCACUUGGCCUUCAAAGGAACAGAGUUCCCAGUAUCUUCCACAUUCGAAUGUCCUUGCAAGAGUGACUCUGGGCAGACAGACUCCAAACUGAUGAUGGACUGUCAAGCUCCCCAGGAGCCCCCUCGGGUUGGCAGCAUCACCCCAGAGUGUUUCCCGCUUCUGGAAUUCCUCUUUAGGGAAGUUGAAAGAAGAAAAGAAAAACUUGAAUUGUGUUGAAUUACUGUAUCUUUUACUUUUUUUUUUUGAAAAGAUAAACUUGUAAAUAGAGUGAUUUGAAAUAUUAUAUGGCAAAGUUUUAUAUUUGAUAAUCUUUAAGCUAGUGGCUCCACACAUUUAAGCUUUGAUUGUUGAAUAGGUGUGUGUAAGAGGGAGAGAGAGGAGGCAAAGUUGAAGAGAGUCAAGGUCAUCCCCUCUCUGGCCUCGAGGAAGGAGGACACGUUUCUACCCACUCUCUGCUGGCUCUCGUUGGUGGGCAUGACACACUGAAGGUAUUCGGUCGUCUUUAUCCACAUGUGUUUUUGAGCUUUUCUUGGGCUUUGAAUUUGGAGAGAGAAAACAUUUUCAGGCAAUGAAUUUUUAAAAGAAUGCUUGCUUGGUAGUAAGAUGAAGCUCAGGAUUCACAUAGGUGGGGCCAGGAGUUAGAUUUUUUUUUUUUUCCAUUUUUCUUCUCAGGUGUAUUUCUUGGUACCCCAAUAUGUCAGGACAGAAGGCAACGGGGUCGUCGCAUGUUCCUUAUAUCUCACUCCUCUGCACAUCUUCUGAGGUUGUACACAUGAGGCCGAGCUAUUUUGUAAAUGUUGUGUGUGUGUCUAAGUUGUAGGAAAAACUGGCUUCUUAGGAUCUUGGGUCCUCAAUAUGCUGCUGUUUUCCCUUUCCCUAAAUAUUUCCCUUCUUGUUCAUCUCAAAUUUCCUAUAACCCCAAAAUAAAAACUCCAAAGAGGGACGUAGGACGUAGGCUGUGCUGUUGUUACAGCUUUAUAGAUGAUUUUAAAUUUAAAGGAGUUUGUCAUUGUGAUUCAGUUCAUCGGCUCAAGGAUUACACAGCUAUUAUGGAAGAGCUCAACCAACAGCAAGCGACACACUACCACUACCAAUUCAGGGAACAAGAACUAAGACUGGAUAAGACCAAGAUAGGACUCAGGAAAGCUAUUCACUGAAAACCCAAGAAGAAGGAGAACACACCAACUGGCUACACUUACUCCCUGUAGACUUGGAACAGCUCAGGAACCUGUUCAGUGGAGCUUGAGGGGACAAGCAUACUCUGUGCCACUGUGCUUUCCAAAUGGCAAGAACUCCACAUAAUGGGUUUUUGUUGUUUUUUUAACACAUUUGAUGUUUUAAAUUGUCACCUGCCUCACUGGACCCUUAACUAGAGCUAACGUGGAGGAGCAGAAAGCCCAGGCCCUGAUUUGGGGAGCUCCUCCCUAGAGCAUAGCUGUUGACACUUGGCCCCAGCUUGACCACUUGGAAGCCUGUCCCUCCCUCUUCAGUUGGCCCUGAUUUGAAGCCAGAAGGAAAUGGAAGUGCCGCCAGUGUGAAUUUGUAGGUAGACCCCUUCCCAGUCAUGCUGGGCCUGUGACAGAUGGCUGCCCUGCUUCCUUUCCCCAGCCAGGCUCACCUCCUCCUCAUUUGCUGCAGAACUGGAGAUACCAUUAAGAAUAUGAGCCAACAAAUAGGAAAGGAAUUUGACGACUAAAAGUCGGUUUUACCCUCUCUACCAUCUAUGCCCCCCACCCCUAAUUCUGCUUGAAUAGGGAACUUUAGGGCAGAUGAGGAGAGUGAACAAGGUAUCAGAAUGGAGGACUAUGGACCAAGAUCCCUGAGCUUUCCCAGGAACCUUGUGUUUCUUUUCUAAGGCCCUGUGAUCAUGCACACAGAACCUGAAUCUUUACUUGGGCAUUAUGAUCCAUCUCCUUCUUCCUUCAGGUACUCGAAGAAUUCCACAGCUGCAGAAUUCCAUGCUGUGAAAGGUAACUAGUUUCAAAUCCCUUGCUCAGGACUGAUGAUAUUCUCUUCCAUUUUCAAAAAUUGACGUAUAGGGAUGGACCCUGUGUAGCACAGCCUUCCUUAGUAUCCUAUAACUGGAGCCAGUUUCUCGCUUAGUGUUUUAAUAUUUCUACGGCCAAUAUGUGUUUACCUCUGUCAGACCAAACUGUCUUUUUCAACGUAAUUCUAGUUCAUCCCCUUUUGCUGAGUGCUUUUUGGACAGAGAUGCAAAGAGAAAGAAGCUAAGCAAUCAAGCAUUGGCAGAUUGACAUUAGCAGGACAGAGCCAUGCUAGUGACAAGACCAUUUCAGGCAUUCCCAGGACUCCACGAUUGUGUGUGCCGUGCCUGCAGCUCACGGGGAAGUCUUUCUACGAACAGUGUCUCCUGACAACAGCAAGCCCAGUCACCCCAGAAGUUCUGUCUUGACUACAGAGACUACAGAAGCAUCCAUGGUUGAAGGGUGGGGAGCUAAAGGAAAGCUCUAAUGCUGGUGAACUUGAGGAGCCAUGAAGCAUGUCAACCAAGCCCCCCGAAGCCAUAUUCUACUUAAUGUUUCUGACUUGAUCUCCUGGAAGACAUAACUGUGUUCAUUCUUCCUGAAUUCGACGUUCAAAUCCACUCUUUUGUGGAAGUUCACGAACACCACGUGGGACAGUCCAAGAGCCACAACACAGACAGUCCCACCACACAGCUGGGCACCGGCUUGCAGCUCUUGUGCCAUCACCGAGAUUAUGCUGCCCUGGGAAAUUUUCCAAACAUCUGAAGGCUCCUACCUGCACGAGGUCACCCGGCACCUAGGGGAGACCUUCUGAGUGGUACACAGCUGUAUCCGCUGUCCAUCGUGGGAGCACGAGAUCUAUGGUAUGUAUUUGUGUGUUAUCUUUGUCCCUGGCCUUUCCGAUAGACUUGGCAAUCACUUCACCUUUUGUGUCUUUUUAACAGAAGAGAUUUCAUUUUCAUUUUGAUUUUAGUAGCCACUCAGCAGAGCUCAAAUUGCAUCAUGCCUUGUGGUUGGUUUGGUGUUCUUCACUUGUUAGCUCUGGCUGCGUGAUUGGUUAAAAGAGCACCGUGUUUAGAAAUGGGCUGGAUUGACACUUGAAAUUAGGUAAAUGAAGGAUUUUCUUAGACCCCAAACAUGUUUGCUGUCUUGGGAAUUAAAUCAGGGCUUUAAUUCCUUCUUAGUUCUUCCAGUCUCUGCUCAGAUACCACACAUCUCCCCUACCCAAAUGUGUCAAUGUCACUGGCUUGCCCUGCUUUUAAUAACCUAAACUAACCUGCAACUAAUUAACUAGGCUGGGUUAGGCAGAAUUGUCAGAGUUCCGCCAGCAUGGCAGCCAAGAGAGCCUCUAACCAAUGCAGUAAGUGCUUGGUGGUAGGUGCAUGAGGCUCCUGCAUGGGAGAGUGCAAAUAAUCGUCUGCAGGGAGGGGCAUUCCAACCAGGGCCACAUCCUUCACAGUGGCACCCUGCACACCCAGGCAUCAUCGGAGAGUGGGGACCAAAGCAGGAAGGUUUUAAUUUGAGAUGAUCAGAAACCCCGGCGCACUGCACUCAGCAACACCGGUCACUCUGUGCAUCUCAUCUCCUGUAAUUCACCCCAUGAGGCGGGCCCCAGCCUCUGUUUGCUAAAACCCAAGUAGCUAAUAAGCCUUCUCAAGGCCAACCAGCAAAUUAAUCAAGACUUGAAUUCAUUUGGGGCUUUAGGUACCAAAAUCACAUCUUACCCUCCAAGUCUUGAGCCCACCAUUAAAUUAAAAUUUUUUGUUCUGACACUAUGGUUCUAUGUCCUCUUUGCAGUUUUUCUGAUAAGUUAUCAGAAAGAUGUUUUUUAAAUGAACUUUUCCUGCCUUUUCUGAACGCUUCUCGGUGAAGCAGCUUACCUCGCCUGUGUUGAAUGCAAUGAAGUAAUGACAGUAAAGGGUCACCCCUCUUUUCCUACCUUUUCUCCUCUCACGCCAUUUUGCCCCUUCAUAUGUCUUUCUAUCUGUCAAUUCAUUUUUCUAUCAUAAAAUGUUUGGUGUCAUCUUCUUUUUAAUUGACAGCUCCAUAAGGACAGAGACCAUGUUUUGCUCACCCAUGUCUGCCUAGCCCCCAGCCCACGGCCUGGCCCAGCAUGUGUCCAGUAGCCGCUGGGUGGGCUGACGAGUGACUGAAAGCGGAAGAGCGCUGCUUUGCCCUGUAGUUCCUCCUUCCUGUUGGAUUCAACAGUUCUUGUUGAAAAAAGAAAUUGGGUGUCCUUAGUCUUGGGUUCUUGAACACAAGGUGACUUUGUGACCUCUGGCAAACUCCUCCGUUCGUUCACGUCCUGGGAUUUCGGCUCAUUGGAGGGGGACUUCCCACCCUCCAUCCAGGCACACACAGCCACAUUCUUUCCCAUCCCACUCCUAGUGCUCAGUACAAGAAGCCAUCUGGUUGACCAGCUGACCGAGAACCAAAGACCCUUCACUGUCAUCUGAAUUGCUUAUGGGUAGUUUUAUGAACUUCAUACCAGGCUCAGGGCCUGCCUUCAAGCAAAGCCACAUCAGAAUCACCCCCAAAAUAAAAAGUACUCUUUUUUGAAGACCCUUCCAGGAAAUUCCACACUGUCCUGUGGGAAUUUGGUCUGGCAUCUAACACUCUCACUAAGGGAAUUCUUUGUGUCUAACCGAAGUUUCCCAUGAUGCAGCUUAUGUCCAUUUCCUUUCUGUUUUUCCUUAGAGUGGAGAAUAGCUAGCCUCAUUUUUUCAGAGAAAUCACCCUCCAUUUUUGUGCUUCCAUCCAGCAAACACUUCUUGACCAUCUCUAUGUACCAGGAGCUCCUAUGACCGGGACUUAUAAGACAUGAUGUCCAUCCCUAGGGAACUCACAGUUGACCUCCAUGACAGGCAAGUGUAUGAGAAGCCACAUGUGCCGUGUGAUAUGUCUACAUGUUGUGCAGCAGGUAGUCUCGGGCUCCGAGAAAGAAGGGCCUUUCUGUUUGGGAGGCAGUCUUGACAGAAGUGACAUUGGAGAGGGAUCUCAAAAGGUGGAGAGGAGUUUGGCACCUAGACCAUUGGAGAAGUGUUGCAGGUUCUAGGACAGCAAGGACCGAGGCAUGAAAGGGAGAGGGAGAUGGAGGUGAGUUGGAUGUGAUUGGACACGAGGAGACAGGAGCUUCCUGGAAAACUGUACGCUUCGCUGGUCACCCUUACCUACUCCCCACGUUGACCUCUAGGCUUCUGUUUUCCCCUGAUGACCAACAAUAUCGGCUAACAUGGAUUACAGUCUUACUAGGCAGGAGACACUAUUAUAAAUGCAUUAACUCACCAAAUCCUCAAAACUCAUGAAUGAAGUACUAUAAUUACCCCCAUUUUAAAGAUGAGGAAACAAGAUCGGGGAGCUAGGAAGUGGUGAAACUUAAAUUUUAGGAUAGGUCUGUCUGCUUCUAGAGCCCAUAUGCUCUUAAUUUUUAAAAAAUUUCUUUAUAGGUGUACACACAUGAUCUUAUAUAAAUUUGUAAGCAUUUUUUAAUCGCGAGGAAGUUGUUCCUUCUGCUUUUGACUUGGUCUUCCAUCCCCCACCUAAACAUCUUCAAAACUGACAUCAACAACCUCAUUAUGUCCUUUUCAGCAGUGAGCCCUUCAAAAAGGGCUCUGGCAAGCAGUAUCCCGCAAACACUUAGCUUUAGUUCCCUACUGGCCAGAAUAAGAGCAGAAUAUGUUUUGAUUAAAAACUUUUCUUUUCUCCUAGGAGCCCCGUGCUCACUCAUUUUGGGUGAAUAGUUUCCCCAUUUCUGGAGCUCUCUGCAGACACUCCCGGUUGUCUGGGCAGCCCCAUGGACUCCAGCUGCAAUCUUUGGCUGGUCCCAGCAUCCUUAAGAACACUGCAAGGAGGCAGCCCCUGCGGAAGACCCAGCCAUGUUUUGUUGGCUGGAAAUAUGCGCACAUUUUUUAAAAUUUAACAAUUUGAAAACAGUCCCUCUCCCCACCCUGAUCCAGCUGUCGACGACAGACCUUCAGGCUCUUAUGGGAUUGCCAGGGAAAUCCCAUGAGCAUGUGUCUUUUUAUGGGAGAGCCAGUGUUUCCAGCGUGAUCUGCGAAUGCUUAAAAAUAGAGAAUGUUGGCAUUUUAAUCCCCUCUUGAACUUAGUGAGAUUUGAAAAAAAUCAGAGCUAGAGGAGACAGCAAGAGAAGUCAAGGCAGACAACAGUGAGUACUUGUGGGACUCCCUCUAAGGCAGAAUGGGACUCACCCAGGUCUCCUGCAGUGAGGGGCGUAGAGCUGUUGCGUGUCAAGAUGACUGACAAAGUAAGUCUCAUUUGUGGAGCAGUUCCAUUAUACUAACUGCUUUCACAUGCAUCAUCUUAUUAAUCCUCACAUCAACCCUGUGAAAUAGGUCCUGUUGUUACCCUCUUCUGUAGAUGAGGAAGCCAAGUAUUAGACUGAGUAACUUGUUCGGAGUCACUAAGCUAAUAAGUAACAGAGCAGACACCGAACCCCAGCAGACUGAUACCACAGCUUACCCUCAACUCCCACACUGUCUCCAGUUGAGAAGGUGGAAGCUCCAGCCCUUGAAUGCCCUUUACUUCCCUCGCCCCAAAGGAGUAUUUGUUGUUUUUGCUCUUUGGCGUCCAGUACCCCUUCUGGCAACAGCACCUCAGUUUUCAUUUGGGGCCUGUGGGUUUAGGUUCCAUGGGUUUGGGUGGCCAGGCAUCAACCCUUGAUCCAGUGGUGAACCAGUGGUGCUGUUCUGGCCUGUGAGAUCAUCAGAUCCACCCAGCCACAGUGAUUGGUUGGUUAAGGAAUGGGCACGGGGCCUAGUUAAAUCCACAGUGCUGGGACUUUGUCCUGGGGCAAGGUAUACAGGUCACAGCAGGGUCACACAGAUAUUCUUCAUAUCAGGGAGGCAUAGUAAGUACCAUUCCCCUGACCCUCAAAUGACUUCUUAAUAUGAAUUCUGUCUGCCACUUGUCUUUAUUUAAGGGCCCUCAUACUUUAUGUUAAGUAUGUAUAUUGAGAUUUUAGUAGUGUACCUCUUAGGAAAGUCACUUCAGAGAACAAGCAGAAGAUCUGAAAUACCAAUUGCAAUAUGAAAUGGGCAAACACUGCCCUAAUUGGACCAAUCCUGGAAUGAGUUCACCUUGAUGCCUGAACUCAGCAAGUGUAGUUUCUUUUUAAAAUUCCAGCAUUUUUUCUCUCUUCUGGACCAGAAGUAGCCAUGACUGGACCUCAUGAGAACAGGGAGGAAUUGUGUCAUUUGGAGUCCUCUGACAAUACUUUUCCAACCCCAGCUGAUUCAAGUCGUUAUUUGAUGAUUUGGCCCAUCCCAGUGGUGCAUUAGUGUUGAGACAUUUUAUCCUGGGAUUCUCAUGAAGGACCCCCAAGUCAGUUGCAGUUUAAAAAAUGGCAAUAAAUCAUGCUUAAUCAUGAUAUGGAAUUGGAUGGCAUAAAGUACUCCUCAGUUCACACACCCUGGGGGCCGCACCCAGACCUGUUCAACCAUCCCCUGAAUGUGAGUCUGAGAAACUCCAGUGUCACUGAGUUCAGACCUUCAACUUCGUUUGGGGUGGGACUACAUAGUUGGAGGCCCUGAAGGGGGGGGGGGGGUGUAUCUAAUCAGACUCAGAUACCUUGCUGCUGCUCUUUCUCCAUGACGUGGUCACAGUUUUCUUGUCUCAGGGACUUCCAGAUAAAGUGAUUACAAAUCUUACAGGAAAAACCUUCACAGGCAAGGAGGCCACUCCUGGCCCCCAAAAGAUAAGGUUUUCACUUUUGGAUAACACUUGAAAAUUUUCAGGGUUGUUUUCCUCCUGCAGAUUUUGACCAUGGCACACCCCUGAUCAAAAAACCUUCAGAAGCUCUCGUGGCCUGAAAAAAAAAAAAAAAAAAAGGCAUCACGGCAUUAAGGGUGUUUCCCAGUAUGGCCCCAGCAUCUUUUCUCUUAUGUUCCUUUAUGCAUUUCAUGCCUCAGAGGCACCAACUCUUCAUCACCUACUAUGUCCACAUCCAGGUGCUAGGGUACUGUUUCCUUGUGCCCCUGAGGUUAACUUGGGCUCAGAUGCUCUUUACUUUUCCCACCCCAAGAGAAAUAGCUGUUGAUUUUGCCUGUUGGGCAACUGUUACUCCUUAUUCUGAUAACAGCACCUCAUUUUUUGUCUGGGGAGCCACCCCUCCCCUACUUUCAGGUCCCAUGGGUUUGGGGGACUUGGCAUCUUUCCUGCAUCCAGUGGUGAAACUGUGACCCUGGCUGGGCCUGGAACAUCAUCAAAUCCACCCUGCCCAUAUGAUUGGUUCAUUGAGAAAUGAGCCAGGACCUUACUAAGUCCAAGAAGAACCAAUUGCUGGAUUUCUUAGACUGCUGUGAUAAGGGACUCUCUUUCUACAUCUGAAGCCAUGAAGACUGCUGGCAACCAUCUUGUCUCCUUACAGGGGGAGCCUGACUCCCAACUGGGAAGCCCAAAUAUGCUGCCAAGAACGACACAGAAGAGCAACACUCCAUGUCAUGGGUCCAGAUGCACCUGAGCUUUUCUGUUACAUAAGCCAAUAAAUUCUCAUUGUGCUCACAA